CCUACGGGAGGCAGCAGUGGGGGAUAUUGCACAAUGGAGGAAACUCUGAUGCAGCGACGCCGCGUGAGUGAAGACGGUCUUCGGAUUGUAAACCUCUGUCAGCGGGGAAGAAAAUGACGGUACCUAAAGACGAAGCUCCGGCUAACUACGUGCCAGCAGCCGCGGUAAUACGUAGGGGGCAAGCGUUAUCCGGAUUUACUGGGUGUAAAGGGAGCGUAGACGGCAGCGAAAGUCUGAAGUGAAAUCCCCGGGCUUAACCCCGGACCGGCGUUCAAAACGGCGUGGCUGGAGUGCAGGAGAGGCAGGCGGAAUUCCUAGUGUAGCGGUGAAAUGCGGAGAUAUUAGGAGGAACACCAGUGGCGAAGGCGGCCUGCUGGACUGUAACUGACGUUGAGGCUCGAAAGCGUGGGGAGCAAACAGGAUUAGAUACCCGGGUAGUC
rnacentral:rRNA from 1 species